rnacentral:rRNA from 1 species
AUGAACGCUAGCUACAGGCUUAACACAUGCAAGUCGAGGGGCAGCAUGGUCUUAGCUUGCUAAGGCCGAUGGCGACCGGCGCACGGGUGAGUAACACGUAUCCAACCUGCCGUCUACUCUUGGACAGCCUUCUGAAAGGAAGAUUAAUACAAGAUGGCAUCAUGAGUCCGCAUGUUCACAUGAUUAAAGGUAUUCCGGUAGACGAUGGGGAUGCGUUCCAUUAGAUAGUAGGCGGGGUAACGGCCCACCUAGUCUUCGAUGGAUAGGGGUUCUGAGAGGAAGGUCCCCCACAUUGGAACUGAGACACGGUCCAAACUCCUACGGGAGGCAGCAGUGAGGAAUAUUGGUCAAUGGGCGAGAGCCUGAACCAGCCAAGUAGCGUGAAGGAUGACUGCCCUAUGGGUUGUAAACUUCUUUUAUAAAGGAAUAAAGUCGGGUAUGUAUACCCGUUUGCAUGUACUUUAUGAAUAAGGAUCGGCUAACUCCGUGCCAGCAGCCGCGGUAAUACGGAGGAUCCGAGCGUUAUCCGGAUUUAUUGGGUUUAAAGGGAGCGUAGAUGGAUGUUUAAGUCAGUUGUGAAAGUUUGCGGCUCAACCGUAAAAUUGCAGUUGAUACUGGAUAUCUUGAGUGCAGUUGAGGCAGGCGGAAUUCGUGGUGUAGCGGUGAAAUGCUUAGAUAUCACGAAGAACUCCGAUUGCGAAGGCAGCCUGCUAAGCUGCAACUGACAUUGAGGCUCGAAAGUGUGGGUAUCAAACAGGAUUAGAUACCCUGGUAGUCCACACGGUAAACGAUGAAUACUCGCUGUUUGCGAUAUACUGCAAGCGGCCAAGCGAAAGCGUUAAGUAUUCCACCUGGGGAGUACGCCGGCAACGGUGAAACUCAAAGGAAUUGACGGGGGCCCGCACAAGCGGUGGAGCAUGUGGUUUAAUUCGAAGCAACGCGAAGAACCUUACCAGGUCUUGACAUCCUACUAACGAGAUAGAGAUAUGUUAGGUGCCCUUCGGGGAAAGUAGAGACAGGUGGUGCAUGGUUGUCGUCAGCUCGUGUCGUGAGAUGUUGGGUUAAGUCCCGCAACGAGCGCAACCCUUAUGGUCAGUUACUACGCAAGAGGACUCUGGCCAGACUGCCGUUGACAAAACGGAGGAAGGUGGGGAUGACGUCAAAUCAUCAUGCCCCUUAUGAUUUGGGCUACACACGUGCUACAAUGGCGUAAACAAAGGGAAGCGAGAUUGUGAGAUGGAGCAAAUCCCAAAAAUAACGUCUCAGUUCGGACUGCAGUCUGCAACUCGACUGCACGAAGCUGGAAUCGCUAGUAAUCGCGAAUCAGAAUGUCGCGGUGAAUACGUUCCCGGGCCUUGUACACACCGCCCGUCACACCACGAAAGUCGGUUUUACCCGAAGCCGGUGAGCUAACUCGCAAGAGAAGCAGCCGUCUACGGUAGGGCCGAUGAUUGGGGUG